UUUCCGUAGGUAAGUUAUCACAAAACCACGCCCGCCUUGUGCCUCUUGAACCACUUGCUAACAUCCAUCUUCUAGGUGAACCUGCGGAAGGAUCAUUACCGUGUUCUACGCCGGGGGCCCGCCCCUCGGCUUGCACCUCCCUUUGCGUAUCCAUUCUGGUUGCUUCGGCGGAGCGACGCCUCGCGUGUCGCCGCCGGAAGACCUUCAAACUCUGGUUUUUGCAGUGUCGUCUGAGCCACUAUGAAAAUGAAAUAAAACUUUCAACGAUGGAUCUCUUGGUUCCAGCAUAGAUGAAGAACGCAGC
rnacentral:misc_RNA from 1 species